GGUUCCUUGGCCGAGUGGUUAGGCAUAUGUCUGCAAAACAUGGUACAGCGGUUCGAAUCCGCUAGGAACCU
rnacentral:tRNA from 1 species